rnacentral:tRNA from 1 species
GAGAGAGGUCCGGGACACGAAGAUCUGCUAAUUCUUCUUAUCAUGGUUCAAGCCCAUGGCUCACUCGGCCCU